rnacentral:miRNA from 1 species
GGUUGGCUUGCCUGUGCCUGU